rnacentral:tRNA from 1 species
UGGGAUGUAGCUCAGUGGCAAAGCGCUUGCUUGCCUAGCAAGCGCAACGUCCUGGGUUCGAUCCCCAGUACCAA